rfam:Camelus ferus unplaced genomic scaffold scaffold89, whole genome shotgun sequence.
GAGGGUAUAGCUCAGCGGUAGAGCUUGUGCUUGGCGUGCACGAGGUCCUGGGUUCGAUCCCCAGUACCUCCG